GGGGAUGUAGCUCAGUGGGAGAGCGCUUGCUUUGCAUGCAAGAGGCCCUGGGUUCAACCCCCAGCAUCUCCA
rnacentral:tRNA from 1 species